GCCGAUGUGGUGAAAUUGGUAGACACGCACGGUUCAGAGCCGUGUGAGCGCAAGCUCGUGAGAGUUCAAAUCUCUCCAUCGGCACCA
rnacentral:tRNA from 1 species